rnacentral:rRNA from 1 species
GACGAACGCUGGCGGCGUGCCUAAUACAUGCAAGUAGAACGCUGAAGAGAGGAGCUUGCUCUUCUUGGAUGAGUUGCGAACGGGUGAGUAACGCGUAGGUAACCUGCCUUGUAGCGGGGGAUAACUAUUGGAAACGAUAGCUAAUACCGCAUAACAAUGGAUGACACAGGUCAUUUAUUUGAAAGGGGCAAUUGCUCCACUACAAGAUGGACCUGCGUUGUAUUAGCUAGUAGGUGAGGUAAAGGCUCACCUAGGCGACGAUACAUAGCCGACCUGAGAGGGUGGGUCGCCGCCCUGGGACGGGGACCCGGCACAUACGCCCUCGGGAAGGACCCGGAGGGCAACUUCGGCCAUUGGGGCAACCCUGACCGCGCAACGCCGCGUGAGUGAAGAAGGUUUUCGGGUCGUAAAGCUCUGUUGUAAGUCAAGAACGGGUGUGAGAGUGGAAAGUUCACACUGUGACGGUAGCUUACCAGAAAGCGCCGGCUAACUACGUG